UACGUAGGUGGCAAGCGUUGUCCGGAUUUACUGGGCGUAAAGGGCGCGUAGGUGGAUAUUUAAGUGGGAUGUGAAAUACCUGAGCUUAACUUGGGUGCUGCAUUCCAAACUGGAUAUCUAGAGUGCAGGAGAGGAAAGUGGAAUUCCUAGUGUAGCGGUGAAAUGCGUAGAGAUUAGGAAGAACCCCAGUGGCGAAGGCGACUUUCUGGACUGUAACUGACGCUGAGGCAUGAAAGCGUGGGGAGCAAACAGG
rnacentral:rRNA from 1 species